GGAAAUGGAAGACAUAAUUUGCCCAGCUUCUCUCAAGUGGCAAAGCUGUAGAGACAGGUUUUGAACCCAAGUCUUUAGCCGCCAGAACCUGUUCUUUUAGCUACAGAGCAACUCUGCCUCAGGAGAAGCACAUCAAUCUUUGAUGUGAUAAUAACAAGAUCAUGCUGGCUACUGUGUGGACAGUAGGUGAUAGCAGGAAAGAAGUGGAAGCCAAGAAGCCAAUAUGGAGCCAAUGAGCAGUUCAGGUUUAAAAUUGAGAUGAUGAGAUGGAAUAUUACCUGUGAGCUUCAGAACAUCCAUGAGUGACAUGUGAUAGUUGCCUGGGAAACUAGAGAUGAAAUUUUAUAGGCCUUUGAAAUGCUUUACAUUUGAGAAUUAAGCUCAGCUGAAGUUUAAACAGCAUACUGACAGAUGAAUAUAAUUUGAAAACAACUUCAUAAAUCCAUUUUCCCCAGAGCACCGUAAAGAAAUAUUCCAUGUGAGUACCAACUGAUUCCUAGUUACUAAAUCAGAAGUGAUCAAAUAAAGUUAAUGAUAGAGGGUUGGCUAAGCUGAGACUUUCAGUAGCGUGUGUGUGUGUG